CAGUCGAACGAAGUAGCAAUACUUAGUGGCAGACGGGUGAGUAACAUGUAGGUAUCUACCCUUUGGUGAGGAAUAACACGAGGAAACUUGUGCUAAUACCUCAUAAGUCUUUACGGAGAAAGCUUUAUGCGCCGAAGGAUGAGCCUGCACUUGAUUAGUUUGUUGGUGGGGUAAUGGCCUACCAAGACUUUGAUCUAUAGCUGAUCUGAGAGGAUGAUCAGCCACAUUGGGACUGAGACACGGCCCAAACUCCUACGGGAGGCAGCAGUAGGGAAUAUUGCACAAUGGAGGAAACUCUGAUGCAGCGAUGCCGCGUGAGUGAAGAAGGCCCUUGGGUUGUAAAGCUCUUUCGUCGGGGAAGAAAAUGACUGUACCCGAAUAAGAAGGUCCGGCUAACUUCGUGCCAGCAGCCGCGGUAAUACGAAGGGACCUAGCGUAGUUCGGAAUUACUGGGCUUAAAGAGUUCGUAGGUGGUUAAAAAAGUUGGUGGUGAAAUCCCAGAGCUUAACUCUGGAACUGCCAUCAAAACUUUUUAGCUAGAGUAUGAUAGAGGAAAGCAGAAUUUCUAGUGUAGAGGUGAAAUUCGUAGAUAUUAGAAAGAAUACCAAUUGCGAAGGCAGCUUUCUGGAUCAUUACUGACGCUGAGGAACGAAAGCAUGGGUAGCGAAGAGGAUUAGAUACCCUCGUAGUCCAUGCCGUAAACGAUGUGUGUUAGACGUUGGAAAUUUAUUUUCAGUGUCGCAGCGAAAGCGU
rnacentral:rRNA from 1 species